GUAGCUUGCUACUUUGCCGGCGAGCGGCGGACGGGUGAGUAAUGUCUGGGAAACUGCCUGAUGGAGGGGGAUAACUACUGGAAACGGUAGCUAAUACCGCAUGACGUCGCAAGACCAAAGUGGGGGACCUUCGGGCCUCACGCCAUCGGAUGUGCCCAGAUGGGAUUAGCUAGUAGGUGGGGUAAUGGCUCACCUAGGCGACGAUCCCUAGCUGGUCUGAGAGGAUGACCAGCCACACUGGAACUGAGACACGGUCCAGACUCCUACGGGAGGCAGCAGUGGGGAAUAUUGCACAAUGGGCGCAAGCCUGAUGCAGCCAUGCCGCGUGUGUGAAGAAGGCCUUAGGGUUGUAAAGCACUUUCAGCGAGGAGGAAGGCGUUGUAGUUAAUAGCUGCAACGAUUGACGUUACUCGCAGAAGAAGCACCGGCUAACUCCGUGCCAGCAGCCGCGGUAAUACGGAGGGUGCAAGCGUUAAUCGGAAUUACUGGGCGUAAAGCGCACGCAGGCGGUUUGUUAAGUCAGAUGUGAAAUCCCCGAGCUUAACUUGGGAACUGCAUUUGAAACUGGCAAGCUAGAGUCUUGUAGAGGGGGGUAGAAUUCCAGGUGUAGCGGUGAAAUGCGUAGAGAUCUGGAGGAAUACCGGUG
rnacentral:rRNA from 1 species